AUUGAACGCUGGCGGCAGGCCUAACACAUGCAAGUCGAGCGGAUGAAGGGAGCUUGCUCCUGGAUUCAGCGGCGGACGGGUGAGUAAUGCCUAGGAAUCUGCCUGGUAGUGGGGGAUAACGUCCGGAAGCGGGCGCUAAUACCGCAUACGUCCUGAGGGAGAAAGUGGGGGAUCUUCGGACCUCACGCUAUCAGAUGAGCCUAGGUCGGAUUAGCUAGUUGGUGGGGUAAAGGCCUACCAAGGCGACGAUCCGUAACUGGUCUGAGAGGAUGAUCAGUCACACUGGAACUGAGACACGGUCCAGACUCCUACGGGAGGCAGCAGUGGGGAAUAUUGGACAAUGGGCGAAAGCCUGAUCCAGCCAUGCCGCGUGUGUGAAGAAGGUCUUCGGAUUGUAAAGCACUUUAAGUUGGGAGGAAGGGCAGUAAGUUAAUACCUUGCUGUUUUGACGGUACCAACAGAAUAAGCACCGGCUAACUUCGUG
rnacentral:rRNA from 1 species